ensembl:lncRNA
UAAGAAUCAAAAAAGAAGAAAACAUUAGCUGUUUUUCUACAGAAAGAACUUAAUCAGCAAUUAUGAGUUCCUUUAAAACCUCAAUGGCAACUAUGUGCCCUGAACUUCUGUGAGGGUAUUUCCGAGGUCAUCAGCGGUCCCAUGGGGGAAAUGAGUCAGCAAAAGCCUUAUCAUCAGCGCGUUCACUGAUCGGCCUUCUCCACUGAGUGCCCUCAGGAGUGAUGUCCUUCCUUUGAUCCCUCACAAUGUCACCUCGGAGCGAGGAACCGCAGUUGCACUGUCCUUUUUUGUUAAUUGCGCUGCCAUUUCCUUCUGGCAAUGAGCUGCAGAUCUCAGCGACCGCUGCGAGGAGCACCGCGUUAUCCCGAGCAGCUCUGAGUCACCGCGCAGCCACGGCCGUGUCACAGAGCCGAGAACCGCUGCCAGCGGAGAGGGACCCUUCUCACCUCCCACCGCUAUCAAAUGUCACCCACCCAUCUAUCUCAGCGUCCCUCAUUAUGAAGCUCAUCACUCAUUUCAGAAUGGGCGUUCCACGCAGAACGCCGCAUCCUCUCACUUUAUUAACAGCCAGCAGGGC